rnacentral:rRNA from 1 species
UGGGGAAUAUUGGACAAUGGGCGAAAGCCUGAUCCAGCCAUGCCGCGUGUGUGAAGAAGGUCUUCGGAUUGUAAAGCACUUUAAGUUGGGAGGAAGGGCAUUAACCUAAUACGUUAGUGUUUUGACGUUACCGACAGAAUAAGCACCGGCUAACUCUGUGCCAGCAGCCGCGGUAAUACAGAGGGUGCAAGCGUUAAUCGGAAUUAUUGGGCGUAAAGCGCGCGGAGGUGGUUUGUUAAGUUGGAUGUGAAAUCCCCGGGCUCAACCUGGGAACUGCAUUCAAAACUGACUGACUAGAGUAUGGUAGAGGGUAGUGGAAUUUCCUGUGUAGCGGUGAAAUGCGUAGAUAUAGGAAGGAACACCAGUGGCGAAGGCGACCACCUGGACUAAUACUGACACUGAGGUGCGAAAGCGUGGGGAGCAAACA